rnacentral:sRNA from 1 species
CACCUCGGACGCUGCACCGGACACUGCCCCCCACAGGGCUGGACACUCCAACGGACACUACUUCCCAGCUCCGGACAUUGCUCCCUCCUCUCCCGGGGCCCUGGACGCUUUUCCCCCUCCCCCCUCCGGGGGCCCAGACACUGAGCCCCCCUCAGCGUCUGGCUAGCGUCCCCUUGCACCCCAGCCCAGGACACUGCCUCCUCCCUGUCCUCUUCUCCCUUCUGCUCCUCCCACCUCAUCUUUCCCCUGCUCGGGUCGGAGCCCCGCCAGUUCCUCCGACCCCCUGCUGCUCGGCCGCGGCUGCCCGCGCCCCCAUCCCCAGCUCCUCGCCCGGAUGCCUCUCCCCGGGGGACUGUGGUGGCUUCUCUGCUGCCGUCGAGGCUUCACUCUUCUGCACCGGGACUACGGGGACGGCGAGCUUAGCGGGGACGGGGACGAGGACGAGGACGAGGAAACCUUUGAGCUGCGGACCCCGAGUCCAGCUGGCGGCGGGAGGGGUCCCCUGGAAGUGACGCUGACUCAGCCAGUGAGGAGCGGGCCUGUCUCCAACAGGCUGCAGAGCUGGGAGGAGACUUGGAGCCUCAUCCCGGAGAAAGGGCUGCCGGAGGAUGACCCGGACACCGUUGUGAAAGGUUGGCUGUACCGGGAGCCCCGCGGAGGAGGGGCGCGGCCCUGGCUGCCCCCGCGCCGAGCCUGGUUUGUGCUCACGCGGGACUCCCUGGAUCAGUUCAGCAGCAGCGGGAAAGGGGCGCGGCGUCUCGGGAGCCUCGUGCUCACCAGCCUGUGCUCGGUGACCGGCCCAGAGCGCAGGCGUAAGGAGACAGGUCUGUGGUCAGUGACUGUGUCUGGUCGGAAACACAGUGUCCGCCUCUGCUCCCCACGCCAGGCAGAGGCUGAGCGCUGGGGGGUGGCAUUGCGGGAAGUGAUCGCCUCCAAGGCACCCCUGGAGACCCCCACCCAGCUACUGCUCAGGGACAUACAGGAAAGUUGCGGGGACCCAGAGGCCGUUGCCCUCAUUUACCUGAGGAACCCGAUUCUGAGACACACUAGUGGAGCCUUGUACGCCCCGCUCCUGCCCCUGCCCUAUGGAGUCAGUGCCCCAGGUCCGGGCUAUGCACCCCUGCGCGAGGAGGCGGUGCGGCUGUUCUUGGCGCUGCAGGCGCUGGAGGGGGCGCGGCGCCCCGGGCCCUUGAUGCAGGGUGUGCUCCAAACCUGCCGGGACUUGCCCGCGCUCCGGGAUGAACUCUUCCUGCAGCUGGCUAAGCAGACCUCGGGCCCUGCAGGUCCCCCCGGGCUCCCGGCUACCCAAGACCCUGCGGCCCUGCGGUACUGGCAACUCCUCACCUGCAUGAGCUGCACCUUCCGACCUGGGGGAGCUGUGCGGGGGCACCUCCUGGGGCACUUGGAGAGGACCGAGCAGGCACUCCCGGACUCGGAACUGGCGGAAUAUGCGCGCUUCAUCCGGAAAGCACUGGGCCGGACGCGCGGCAGAGAGCUGGUGCCCUCGCUGGCGGAGAUUUCCGCGUUGAGCCAACGGCAGGAGCUGCUGUGUACCGUGCACUGUCCGGGGGCUGGUGCCUGUGCUGUGGCCAUCGACUCCCACACCACGGCGGGGGAGGUGGCUCGAGAGCUGGUGGGGCGGCUGGGCUUGGCGCGGAGCCGCAACGCAUUCGCGCUGUACGAGCAGCGAGGGGCCCAGGAGCGAGCCCUGGCUGGGGGGACCCUCGUGGCCGACGUGCUCACCAGCUUGGCGGCGGAGGAAGCUGGGUUGGAGGACUCGCCCGACUCCGGGUGGAGACUAUGUCUGCGUCUUCACGGACCUCUGCACCCUGAGGGGCUGUCCCCAGACGGUCACGAACUGCCUUUCCUCUUUGAGCAGGCUCACGCUCUGCUGCUGCGGGGCCGGCCGCCCCCACCCGACGACACGCUGCGCGCCCUGGCGGCGCUGCGCCUGCAGAGCCUGCACCGGGACUUCUCUCCGCGGGUGCCCCUGCCCCGCCUGGACCGCCUGCUCCCGCCCCCGGCCCCGCCGCGCGAAGACCCGCCCCGCCCGACCCCCAGGCCGCCCCCUUCCGCUGCCCUGCUGGCCGGGGCGCUCUGGACCCCGGGCCUGGCCAAGAGGCGGGCGGAGCGGGCCCGGCGCGGCGGGGCCGGCCGCACUGCGGGAAGCAUUGCCCGCGAGGGAGGAGGCGGCGCCGGCACGGCAGCUGCCGUGCUGGGCGGCUGGAAGCGGCUACGGGGCAUGGGCCGAGCUGAGGCCAUGGCCACCUACCUGGCCCUGGCGGCGCAGUGUCCGGGGUUCGGCGCUGCUCGGUAUGACGUUCUGGAGCUGAGCACGGUGAGGGGGAGAAGGGAGAAGGGGACUCUGGCGGCCCAAGCCCCACACCUUUGCCCCAGAGCCACAGGUCCCACGGAGGGUCACGUAAUUCCCCACAUCCAGAACAGCUACCCAUCUCAAACCCCAGGAGUCACCAGCCCUUGGGCCCUCACAUCCCCGGAGCCUUAGCCCCCUCCACACACGUGCUGUGAAUCAGAGGGGGAUCAGGAAACUCCUGCUCACAGACACCCAUCUCCCCCUACCAAAAAUAACGCUGGGCUCCUUCCACCCUGACUCUGCCCCUCUGUGUGCAGGAGCCUGGUGGGGGUGCUCCACAGAAGCUGUGCCUGGGCUUGGGAGCCAAGGCCAUGUCCCUCUCCCGGCCAGGGGAGACAGAGCCCAUCCACAGUGUCAGCUAUGGCCAUGUGGCCGCCUGCCAGCUAAUGGGCCCCCACACCCUGGCCUUGAGGGUGGGAGAGAGCCAGCUUCUCCUGCAGAGCCCCCAGGUGAGUGAGAAGAGGAGUUGUGGGAGGAGGAGAGAAGGGAAGCGAUGUCAGGAAGCAUUUACAGAACACCAAACAUGGGCCAGGUAGAGCUCUAAGCACUGGGGAUCCAGCAGUGAUCACAGACAAGCUGAAGGAGCUUACACUAGAGUGGAGUCAGACAAUAAACAAGGAAUCCCAGGCUACGAAGACAGUGAGAAAUGCUACAGAGGAGUGAUGUGACAGGAAGCCAGGGAAGGGUUCUCAAAAAGGGUGCCAUUUAAGCUAGCCAGGGAAGACCUGGGGGAACAGCAUUCCAGGUAGAAAGAAUUGUAAGGUGGCCGGGUGCAGUGGCUCAUGCCUGUAAUCCCAGCACUUUGGGAGGCCGAGGGGGGCGGAUCACGAGGUCAGGAGAUCGAGCCCAUCCUGACCAACAUGGCAAAACCGCAUCUCUACUAAAAAUACAAAAAUUAGCUGGGGGUGGUGGCACACACCUAUAGUCCCAGCUACUCGGGAAGCUGAGGUAGGAGAAUUGCUUGAACCCGGCAGGCGGAGGUUGCAGUGAGCCAAGGCACUUCAGCCUGGCAACAGAGCAAGACUCCGUCUCAACAACAACAACAACAACAAAAAAUGUUAGAAGAGCAGAAAGAACCAAGUAUAACUGGCGCACAUAGAAGUGAAGGAGAGAGGCCGGCCGUGGUGGCUUACGCCUGUAAUCCCAGCACUUUGGGAGGCCGAGACGGGUGGAUCACGAGGUCAGGAGAUCAAGACCAUCUUGGCUAACACGGUGAAACCCCGUUUCUACUAAAAUUACAAAAAAUUAGCCGGUCGUGUUGGCGGGCGCCUGUAGUCCCAGCUACUCGGGAGGCUGAGGCAGGAGAAUGGCAUGAACCCGGGAGGCGGAGCUUGUAGUGAGCUGAGAUCGCGCCACUGUACUCCAACCUGGGGGACACAGCGAGACUCUAUCUCAAAAAAAAAAAAAAAAGAAAUGAAGGAGAGAGAGGAGAGAGUGGUGAUAAGGAAGGAAAGGUUGCAGGGCCAGAGCACAUAGGACCCUGGUGGGGAAGCUGGAGCCCUAGAGCCUGGAGAAAGGAUGAGAAAAAGAAGAGAACCUGGCAGCCCCUGUUGCACACUGACCUCUGCCGUCUCUUAGGUGGAAGAGAUCAUGCAGCUGGUGAAUGCCUACUUGGCCAACCCCUCCCCCGAGAGGCCCUGCAGCAGCUCUUCUCCUCCAUGCCAAGACCUGCCAGACACCUCCCCUCCCAGCCAGCGCCCGGGCCUGGACGAGCCCCAGGGACAGUCUGGCUGCUUGGGGCAGCUGCAGGACUGAGCCUGCCAAGAGGUCACAACUUCCCUCCUGCCUGCAGCCUGGGCCAGGACUGCUCUGAGAUUUGAGGGAAACAUGGACCCUUUUGGCCCUGCAGGGACAGGGCACAUCCCACACCCAAGGGCUACAAUGGGUGUGGGCAAUUUUCUAGUUUGUUUCUUAAUUUAUUUGUAGAAGAGAAGCAAAAAAAAAAAAAGUUUCUUAUUUACAC